UUUUGAUAAAUCUCCCCCAUAGACUUCUUAUCAGUCAUUGCUCCUCCUUCCAAUCCCUAAAAGACUCCAUUGAGUUAAUUUCGACGUGCUAUGCCUCCUAUUCAACCACCCUUGUGGUCUUGUCUGGGAAACAUAGUGAAGUCACAGCUUAUUACUCCACUGAUCACACGUUUUAGCAUAGUCACAAAAAAGAGGAACUGACGUAAUAUUCGACUGACUCGUGGGAAAGUAAAAAUAUUUCGCUAAUUUUGUGACAUGCAAUGCCUCUGUGAAAUCCCAAUUCAAAAGGGACCAAGAACUGAAGUCCAGUUACACCCAGAAUCCUGCCUAACCAUUGUUUCUCUAUCUUAGGUUACUUUCUAUUUUAGCCAUGUUUGCUGAGAGAUUUGUGAAAUAGCAUGCUAUUAAAGGGGACCUUUCCAGAGUAUCUUUAUCCUGUUAUCUUUGCUUUGUAAACAGACACUGGCGGAUUAGCGGAUUAGGAAUUUAAAGUUGCCCUGGAAGAAAAAAUAUAAAAGGGGCCCCAAGUUGUAGGCAGGUCCGGCACAAGUAGGCAGGGUUGGCAAACCAUUUGCCAUAGCCAUAAUAAUAAAUGGGCUAAUACAAAACAGAGCUAAUGUACAAAUAAGCAAGAAAUGGUAUUGGUAGAUGAGGCAAAAGCAACAGAACAGUAGGUGAAGCAAACACACAAGAUUGGUGUGGGUGAGGAUGGUCAAGUGUAGCCAAGGCUUGAGGCAUCCUGGACAAACUGGGCACGGUCUCCUUAUUGCUCUCCUACCAUAUAUAGCAGCUGAUGGGGAGCGAAAGUAUCUCUGAAGUCAAAGUUCCACCUGUAGCUGCCGUCCUCUUG